rnacentral:tRNA from 1 species
CAAGAAGUAGUUUAAUUAGAAUAUCAGCUUUGGGUGUUGAUGGUGAGGAGAUAUUCCUUCUUCUUGA